rnacentral:rRNA from 1 species
CCUACGGGAGGCUGCAGUGAGGAAUAUUGGUCAAUGGGCGGAAGCCUGAACCAGCCAAGUAGCGUGCAGGAUGACGGCCCUACGGGUUGUAAACUUCUUUUAUACGGGAAUAACGCGACUUACGUGUAGGGCUUUGCAUGUACCGUAUGAAUAAGGACCGGCUAAUUCCGUGCCAGCAGCCGCGGUAAUACGGAGAGUCCGGGCGUUAUCCGGUGUUAUUGGGUUAAAGGGGUGCGUAGGCGGAUUUUUAAGUCAGCGGUAAAAUGUCCGGGCUAAACCCAGGACGGCCGUUGAAACUGGGGAUCUUGAGUAGGCGUGAAGUAUGCGGAAUGCGUGGUGUAGCGGUGAAAUGCAUAGAUAUCACGAAGAACUCCGAUUGCGAAGGCAGCAUACCGACGCCCGACUGACGCUGAGGCACGAAAGCGUGGGGAUCGAACAGGAUUAGAUACCCCUGUAGUC